UGAAUUGAUAAAUAUGGCUUCUCUGAUGCUACAGGGAUAUUCUUUUCUUGUAACUUCCAAACAUUUGGAGUUGCAAACCAAAGGCUCAAAACUGGACCCUAAUCUAACUUUAGUUCUUUAAAUCAGGUCAAGGAUCUUAAAAUCCUGAGGAAAACACAUAUAUUGAGCCCCCGUUUGGCAAAGCCUCUAGAGAUUAUAAGCUAGUGGGUCCCAUGGAAUUUGUGGUUAAAAAUUGGAUAAGAGUUGUUGGACCAAUGAAAUUUGUGUUGAAAAUGCAGUUUGACCAGCUUCUAAUCUCCAAAAAAAGCUUUGUUGAACAGGUAGCAAGUUUUUAUAGUCCUAGAAAUCAUGUUUAGAACAAGUCGAGCUAUGGUAAGAAGAUGUGUAGAAGUUAGGCACACUUCUAGGUUAAAUUAGUAUUUGAUGUGGUUAGAAAGCGUGAAAAGACAAAGAACACAAACUAAAACUUGUUUAUUCACGAAGAAUACCUAGGACAGUGAAAAAAGAUUUAGCCUUGCUCCCCAAUCCAUUAUGUUGGACAACAUCUGUAUUUAUGACAAAAAAGGAAGAGAAGAACACCGAUUGCAACGUUGUGAGGUUGAAGAUCAAGAAGCUUCUUGUUUUUUUGGGUUUAGGGUUUAGAUGUUAUUGACUCGUAGAGAACUUAUGUGAUUUCUAAUUUUUCAUUGAUUGAUAUGUUUCACUGAUGCGGCU
rnacentral:lncRNA from 1 species